CUAACCUGACCUAACCCUGUGUGAUGUUUGUUGACACAGGAGGGCGAUGAUCUACGGUGAGGAGACAGAGUCGACGGAGAGGGUGAUGACUCUACCGCCUCCGCCUACAGCUCCAGGAUCAACACGGAGGGCACACAACCUUCACCUAAGGGGCACCGCGAGGACGUGCCCUUCCUCCUCCAGUUGAAAGGCGGGCUGAUAAUGCAGAUGUCGCUACAAGUGAAGUAUUACAAGUAUGGUGACUCCCAACACUGUGAUUGGGGCUCCACCUUCCACUGUGUAGAGUACGACUGUGAAACACACGCAGACGCGGGUAUUGUCGCCGUCCUCAAGGAGACCUUCCGGUAGACUAACCACGCCCAGGAACUGAUGGUGGUGGUUGUGGUGGCGUAAGUAGUGGUGUUUCAGGUAGUAGAGGUUAGUGUGGUGAUAAUAGUCCUGAUAGUGGAUUGUGAUUGAAUAGGUGAUGGCGGUAGUUCGAGUGGUUGUUUUUAUUAUGGUGAUGGUGGUAUUCUAGUAACAGGCUGAAAUUAUGCAGAUGGUGGUUAUUUUGAUGGUGUUACAGAUAAAUGUGGUGAUAGAGGUGACGGCCGUUUAUGAAGAUGGUGGUGGUAAUGGUGGUGGUAGUAAUGGUGGUGGUAGUAAUGGUUGUGGUGGUGGUAGUAGUGGUAAUGACAAUACAGGUGCCAGUGUUUUCCAGCUCGUAAACAAAAUUGUCGUUUGGUCUGUUGUGAUCCACUAAAUUUCGAUUAAAAUUCAAACUUCAUGUACAACAACAACAAAUGUGUACAGUACUACUAAAGGCCCGACUGGAACUCUUCACAGACACACAUCUUGUGACUGUAAAACUGCCCUGGUGAGCUGUAAACACUGUGGUGAAGCGAGGAAGGGGUUAAGAUAUCACAAGAAUCAGAUAAACGGAUAACACACCAGGAAGGAGGGAAGAGGAUGUUGUCAGGUGAGGUUCACGAUGGUUCAGGAAAGAUGUUCAUGCCUUAUAAAUCUUGUUCUUUUUGUGCUUGGGUUUAAGGGUUUGAUUAAGCAGCUACUCGGCCUUGAUCACCUGCCCUCUGCCCCUCUACACACACAGGAGUCAACAAUUAACAAAUCAGGUUUACUGGUCACUAGUUAUGCUUUCUGUCGUGUUCAAAUUUUUCUACGUUAAAAUUUGUAUUGCAAUUAUAAAUAUCUCACGGUAUGACUGUUGAGUGUAAAUACACAAUGCGUAGUAAUUUUAAUCAAAAUAUUCACAAUCUUCCGCCCAUAACAGAUUCAGAGUGAUGAGACGUGUUUUGAACAUUUUUCACAGCUGUUAUCAGUGAUGUCCUUGGUGAAACUCUACUAUUUGUCCCAUAAUCUACUUAAUUACUUCUAUAUCCGCAUUUUCCUAGUGUCAAGUAAAGGUAGAGGCUUCCACAGGUUCAGGCUUUGCUACUCUACGAGGUUUUAAACAACGAGAUUUGCUGGAUGGUGAUGAAGGACCGCCAGGGAGCAACACACAUGUCUCCCCAUGAUGUAACACGGGGAGAAUGGUUCAGCCAAUCACAACCCUCCUUAUUAAUGACGUCAUCAUUUGCCGGGGACCAUAAUACCCAAUCAUUCCCCUUGUUGCAACCUGGGGAAAAUGUCUCAACCAAUCGUAACGCUCUAGGUCAUUGUUUGUCGACCCAUCAUUAAAUACCUACGGCAAGCUACGUGCGUAAGAUAACGUUACAGUGUAAACUAGGUCUGGUUGCGUCAGCUUUAGUUAGUAACAACUGAAUAACGUAAUCAAAAGAUUAACAAUAAUAUACAUCAUAUCUGUGUAAGUCUGUAAGUCUUGCUUUCGCUAAGGUAAGAAAGAUGCUAACAAAACUUAUGUUAUGUCUACUGAGCAAAGUUAGCUUAAAAUAGCAUGUUCAUCUCCCUUAUAAUUAUGUCGUCAGAUGAGGAAAGUUUGAGGUAGAUAACAAAUUAACUUAUAGAUUAAGUUUAAGUACAGGCUAAUUUAACUUGGAUUUUUGUCAGCUGAGUGAAGUUUGGUUACGAUAACAAGAUAACUUACAUAUUAUGUUGAAUUAUAAGAGUUAGGCGAAGAUAAUAAGCUAACUUAUAAAUUAACUUAAGUAGAUGACUGAGACAAGUGUAGGUGACCAUAACUGUGACGGGUUUCAUCCAGUGGCAGGGAUGGCGUCCUCCAGUUUUAAAAAAAGAGACUUGUGUUAUACUACUGUAGCAAACCCAGACUGAUAACAACAAUUUGCUGUGUUAACUGUUCAAUCUUAUGUUGACUGUGAGGUGCUGUAGUGUAGUGGUGAGAUUCACCUCGUCAAUAAAAGUUCCCGAAUUUCACAGACUCAUACGGUACGAUAUUUUCCCCUUAACUUUGGAUGGAAGGUACGAUAUUUUUUCCUUAACUUUGGAUGGAAGGUACGAUAUUUUUCCCUUAACUUGGAUGGAAGGUACGAUAUUUUUCCCUUAACUUUGAUGGAAAGUACGAUAUUCCUCCCUUAACUUUGGAUGGAAGGUACGAUAUUUUUCCCUUAACUUUGGAUGGAAGGUACGAUAUUUUUCCCUUAACUUUGGAUGGAAGAGCUAGUUACAGAAGUCUCAGUACACUUUAGUAGCCAUUUUGCCCACUAUCUUGCUUACAACAGCUAAUUAAAUAGAGGUCCUCUUAGAACACUCGAUGGCAUGGCUGAAUAAAGUUAAUAAUUUUGGCGAAACAGAACUUUGGGCAACCCAGUCAUGUUUGCGGUAGACUAUCAAGAAGAUCUUAACUACUGGUUGUGUUAUUUUACCGUCAUAUGAGUCACCCAUGUUCGCCGCUUUGUUAAUAAACACACACGAUAUUUUGUUAAGACGUUCCCCAUGCUCCCCCCCCCCCACCUUACCCUUCUUUUUAGUAACUUUUGGCCACAUAUAAUAAAAAAGUACAAUAUCAGAGAUUUUUUUCAGCAUUGACAGACACCAAAAAUAACAUCUUACUUUCACAAACCAAUUCACAUAUCACUUACGAUACGUAAAUACUCUUUGAUAUGAUAAUUAUAAUCUACACCCACCACCACCACCACUGUAUACAGUUUUAAUCAGUUUCAUCGGAUAAUUUAUUCCUACUACACGUUAUUUCACCUUUAUUUACACACCCAACACCAGCUGUUAUUCCGUCAGUUCCAAAAUGUUUAUUCAUAAAAAUGUGUUCUUCAGUAGACAGGAGUUAUAGUGUAAUAGUGUAAAAAUUCAGUCUCAUUUGUUAAUGUGUUUCCGCACGUUUAAGAAUCUUAACGGUCACUGCGAUAGUUAUUUCUUGUUUCUGCUAAUUUGAUUCUUAGUUUGUAAGUUUUUAUUUCAUUGGACUCUUGCUCUGAACUGUUAAAACUAAAUUCAUAUCGAGUUUGAGUGUACUUAAUGUUUAUUCCAUUAAUUAUUAGUUUGCUGAGUGCUAUGACUGAACUUAUUUAAUGUACUGUAUAUAACAGGCUACUACAACUGUAAUUCACUCCUUUAUCAUUAACUAUUUUCAAUACUUGUACUUUAUUUCUCACGUUCAUUAGGUUACACUGCUACACUCAUUCCUGAUUGGUCAAUGUUAUCUCAGCUCAUGUCAGCAAGAGCGAAAGUAUUUGUUGAGGUGUUUUCGUUGUUAAUUUACACUAAUAUAUAUUUCAGACCUAUAAUCUCCUUUCCUAACUUAUGUGUUUACAGUUAAAUUAUUGCAAGAGUGACGAUAUGUCCAUGACGUAUGCAAAUGUUAGGACGCUGAAUGGGGAAUGUUGUGUUCUGUGGUGAGUUCUGCCUUGCUUGGUGGUCCCGCUUGUCUGUAUGAUAAAUCUACUUUUUAUUAUAUUAAUCAUAUUAUAUAUACUACAGUUUACUACCAAUAAACGUCCGCCAAUACCGCGCCUUGCACAAGCUAAUAAACGUUUAUAGUUGAGCCUCUGUAGUUAAAGCGUUUAAAUCUGCAAUAAGAGAAACACAACUUAUAUGCAUUUAAUCUUUUCUUAAACUCUGAACUAAGUUUAUAAAUGUUUGAUACAAGAAGAAAACUUUCAUUAUUCUUCGUAACUACGCACCAUUUUUAUAUCUAGCUUCGAGUACGACCACACAUACAGUAUAUGCACAUGGGAGCGAUGAUCCUCAAGAACACAAUGCCUCUCUACCUGUGGUGAUCCACCAGAGGCGAGUUUUCGAGGACACGCUUUUUGAAACACUAAAGUAAUUUUCCCUGACACUCCCCUUUACUUAAGAUCUCCCUCUACUUUUUAUUAGCAGCAUACAAAAUACACGUGAGAAAAUAGUAGACAUUAUCAAAGUAUAUUGAAUCCUGUCGUAGUUAUGUGCUUGUACCUAAACCCGUAAUUUUUUAAAGGUUGCUUCUAAAUAAAUAAAACUGAAAUCGAGUGAGACGUAACUAUUGUGUUCUUCGUUAAUUAAUAAGCUUUUAAAUUUGAAAGUGAAAUGUGUGGCCAGGCAGGCGGGACUUUGAGCACUAAGAAAGCAAUUACCAGGAAAUAUAAACAAUUCAUUACUCUCAUACAAGCUUAAUUUAUUAUCGUAGUAAAGGCUGACGCUCGCUAGGAUAUGCGUAGCUCCGGCUAGUAAUGAUAUCAGGAGCCAGUAUUAAGCGUCUAUCUGCCUGCUUAUGCGAGUAUUAAGGUCAGGUAACCACGUUGUGUCAUGAGGCUGCUACAGUAUGUGCCGAGAAACUUAUUGGACCGAAGGUUAUGUUAGGGUAUGUUAAGCUAGGUUAGACUUGGUUAGGUUAGGUUAGGAUACGUUAGGUCUAGGCUAAACUUGGUUAGGUUUGGAAGGAUUUAGACCAAAGAUUGUCAGGGUAGAGGCGUAACCGCAACACAUCGCCAGAUAUUGACACAACUUUCGCGGUAGCAGCAACACGACAACAGCGGCUACUGACCAAAGUACAAUACUGUAGUCCAGACUUUAGCUGCGACUGUAGCUGCAUCGGUGCGCCAGUGUUAAUCUACUAUAUUCCGACCUGGAAGGAGAAAUUACGGCAUCAUUUAAUAUCUGCUUGUAAGGAAUAACAUGCAGUCAAAGUGAAGAACAAGAAACUCCUCUUCAUUCUGACGCUGACUGCUACCAUUCACUCAUUUAUCAUUUCUACACGCAUAAAUCUGCCAUAGGAAUGAAUGCUUUAAUAUUAACAUCAUUCUGAAAUAAAAUCUAUUGAUGAUCCACGAGUUCUAGAUGUAUCAUUCUUCACGUGUCAUUAUGAAGUAUCAUGUAUCAGCCACAAGCGGGUCUCGUGAUAUGUAAAAACACAAUAUGUGAGAGUUUUUCAUUAUUACUAAAUGUUUACUUUCUGCUAAAUAAACUUAUAGUUAUUA